GAAACUAAUCCAGGGUUUACUGGUAAUAGACAGGACCAAGAGGUUAGGCUGCAUGAGGGCGGGCUCCAAUGACAUCAAGAAUGCUGAUUGGUUCGAAUCCGUCGACUGGGAGAUGGUUAGACAAAGACAACUCAAGCCUCCAAUUGUUCCGAGGCUAACCCACCCUGGUGACACAAGUAACUUUGAUGAGUACCCUGAAGAGGACUGGCAAUCGGCAGCUUCUUCUGUCAAGGCGGAUGUCCUCAAACUCUUCAAAGACUUUUGAUGGCAAAUGCACCCUCUGCUCCGGAAGGGGCAUUUUGAACUCUUAAAGGAGGAUUGACUCGAUAAACAUCUUUUUACCCAACCUAUCACGGCGCUAGGUACUGGAUAUUCCUGAAACGACAUGCAGGACACUCAAGAUUUCAGUGGUACAACGUUAAUCGUUUCCUUGGUGCAGUUAUGACAAAGGCCCAUCAUGGCAAAAUUUGGACAAGCCCAAUUGGCAAGUUAAGCCUCUUAUGCCAGUGGCGGACAUGGUAGAAUGUACAUGUACUCCUUGAUCUUCAAACUUGAUUUAUGAAAUAGAUAUAGAAAUUUUGAAGGCCCUGAUUAUGCAAACCUAAGAUAUGGCACAAAGGUUCUUACAAUUUUGUAUGUUCAUGAUGCAAGGGACAAUGUCCUCCUUAAAGAGCCACAAGAGAAUAGCCUGUGAAACAAGGAGUGAACAAUCAUGUAGUCACUUCAACUUAUAAACAUUUUAUGAAAUAUCGUACUGUGUUUAAAAAAAAAGACAUUUUUGAAGAGAUCAUGACUUUGUUGAAACACUACAAAUGGCCAGUGGUAUCAAGUAUGAAGAAUUGACUGAUCUAGUAUGGGUACAAUUCUUUCUUGAAGCAUGGAGCGUAUUGCUAAGAUUACCAGGAACAUCACUGAAGAGCCUUCGGAGAAUGAAAGAGAUCUGAAAAAAAAAAGAUCCAGAUAUUGCUGCAGCAUCAAGGAUUUAUCAUGUUGUGGUGUUCUCUACGUGUUGACUCUCAUAUCAGAAUUUAACAGAGUUAUAAUAUACCUGUCAUUAUUGUAAUUGAUAAUUUACACAGAUGAAACUGAAAUCAGGCCUACAAUUAAUGUGCAGAAAUCAUUAAAUUAGAUUAAAGGCCAAGAUUUUGUCAUUGCUUAUCAGAAUGAUAACUUAGCUUGAUGAUUAUCAAAAGUACUAUGAAGAUAUAUUUUCAUGAAUUAGGCUUGGCUCAUUAUUAAAUAAAACAUAGAUGUUUGAAAGUCUUCCCUAUCCUUGCAAUAACCUUCCAAUAUUUUAUACAUGUGAAGCUGCUUCAAAGCUACUUGUAAAGUUAUGCAUGAUUUUACGAUGACUGGAACAUAUUCUUAUACUUAACCAGACUGUCAUUUUAUUCUUCAUCCACAAAAGUUUAAAUACAAUCCUUGUAGAUAAGAAAUUCUAGUUAGCAAGCAAUUCAGUUCAAAAUUCAGUAUUUUCACAAUUAGCAUAUGAUUUUAGGAAAUUCACUCCUGUUUUAUGUGAAGUACACCAGAGAAUGUUUUCACAGGAACAUAUGCCAGUCUUUUGUAAAAUUCAUGCAUAACCUUAUGAAUUGCUAUUUGUAACAGACUUCAGGCACAUCUAUCCAAAGAUAAUUUGAAAAGUGUUGUCUUCCAAAAAAGUCUACAUGGUCACUUCUUUGGUGCCCAGCAAUACUGGUGAUCAAAUCUAGUAAAACCUCAUGUAGCCCAGCUAUUUCUCCUCCUUCUUUUUUCUUAGCAAAUGUUUACGAUGCUGGACCUUUAUUUUCUUUUCAAGAUUUUAUUGGAAAUCUAUUUAUAAUUCCAGUAUGUUCUGCAGAUACAUAGAAAUACUUCUUUCCAAGGUUUAUUACUUAAUAUGAGAUUAGAGUUGCGAAUAUUUAUUCUAUGUCUUGCCAGUUGACACACAUUUUUUACUGGAUUUGUUUUCUGCUCUUUUAUUAUCUAUUGACUGCAACUAUUUCCAUGAAAAGUAAUUUGCUGCCAUGUAGCUUCCAAGGUAGGUUUUAUUUAUAUGUUUUAUUCAACAAUUAUCCCAUAAAAGAAUGGGCUCUGUACUAACUUUGUUAACAGAAAAGGGAAUUUGUAUUUGGUAAAUUUUGUGUGCUUUUAAAGUAAUCAAUAUUACCAAAAAAAUAUUUGAAUUAGAUAAUCUUUGAUGAUGAUAGUGACCGGGGAUAGUGAUAAAUAAUAACAACAUUUGUAUUUAAAGUCACCUUAUCCAUUUGAAAACCUUCACCUUUCUCUGAUUUGUCUUAUUGGUUAAAAACAACUUAUUUUUCAGGGAGAACUUCCCCUUUAAUAUCUGAGUGGAGAAUAGCAAAAUGUGGAUAUCCAGGAGUGAUUCCUAGCCAAAUGACAGUAGGCUAUAUAGGCUCUAACAAAAAUUUUGAUAUUACACUGAUCCUGAAAAAGCUGACAAUAAUAUAGCAUUUAGAGUGCGCCUCCUAUCUUGUUUCUUAUUCAGAGAUGCAGGGGGAAUUCUUACACAAAAGGGGAGGGGGUGUUAUUUGAAAUAUGAUGAGAAUAGAUAUGUCUUAAGGUUGGCUUUUAAUGACUCUAUAUAGACUUGACAUUUUUGUUGAUGAGAGUGCAUUCCACAAAGUGGGAGCACUAUAAUUAGCAUUUUAAAACACUCCUCAUUUCACAAGAAUUAAUAUGUAGUACUAGUCCUAAAGAAUUUAUGUAUACUGUGGACUUUUUACGAGAAUUUUGUAAUGAUAGACAGUACUAAAGUGACAUUUCUAUUAAAGAAUUAGUGAUAACCGUUGUAAAAUGUAUGCUACGAAUGAAAAUAAUCAGUCUUUUCAUGAUUUUGACUCUGUAUAAUAAUAAUGAUCCUUAUGAACAGAAGUAUGAAGUACGAUUGUCACAUUUUAUCUGCUGGGUGCCAUAUGAUAGUUUAUGGAAUUAUAUCUUUAAGGCCUGGUCCCACUGGCAGAUGGACACAAAACGAACUCAUAACGGAUACAACGGACAACCAAAAUUUCGGGGUGGCUCCAUCCGUUUUCAUCCGCUCCAGACAAUGGACAAAAUGGGCGAACAAUGAAAUCACAGUGGACGGAUGCUCGUUGGAUAUAGAGCGUAUGGAACACUUAUGCAAAGAGUACACAAAGGAUACAUAACGUUUUCCAACAGAUGGCAUUAUUCUUUUUCGUUUUACAUCUUCUCUGCAUCCGUAAGUGCAGUGGGACCAAGCCUUUAGCUCUUGUUAUACUAAAAAGUAGAAAGAAAGAUAUUUUCACAGUGUAUUUUUAACUCUAUCUGGUCAUUUGAGAUGAUAUAACUGUUUAGCCAUCUUGUUUCAUUCAUUGGAUUGAGAUCGGCUGCUUGUGCCAUUCUACGCAAUUUAUUUUAAUUUCAUUUUUUUUUCCUUUUGGUGUCUAGUAAUAUCCUUACCCUCCUGAAAUGCAGUGAACAAACAGCCUAACUUUUUCAUCUUAAUUUUUUCCUUUCAUUUUUUAAGAUUUUUUAAAGAAAACCAAUUUGAUAUUUUGCUCAAUAUUUCUGCUUUUUUAACAUUUGGGUUAAAAUGAA